rnacentral:misc_RNA from 1 species
GAUGAAGAACGCAGCGAAAUGCGAUAAGUAAUGUGAAUUGCAGAAUUCAGUGAAUCAUCGAAUCUUUGAACGCACAUUGCGCCCGCCAGUAUUCUGGCGGGCAUGCCUGUCCGAGCGUCAUUUCAACCCUCGAACCCCUCCGGGGGGUCGGCGUUGGGGAUCGGCCCUUUACGGGGCCGGCCCCGAAAUACAGUGGCGGUCUCGCCGCAGCCUCUCCUGCGCAGUAGUUUGCACACUCGCAUCGGGAGCGCGGCGCGCCCACAGCCGUUAAACACCCCAAACUUCUGAAAUGUUGACCUCGGAUCAGGUAGGAAUACCCGCUGAACUUAAGCAUAUCAAUAAGCGGAGGA